UAUAUAUAUGUAGAACAGGUGAAGCAUCAUCGUCACUUUAGUAGGAAGAGGGUUGUUUGUUUUGUUAUUGUAUGAAACGACACUUGCGUUCACAAGUGCGAGAAUAGUGUGUAUUACAAAAGUGAAAUCGAACUAGGAAGAAGAAAUUGAGACGCACUAUUCAAAUUCAAGAGCAAAUGGCCUAUUAUUGUGCUGUAUACCAAUACCACAAUAACCAACGUUCGAGGUUCCCACGCAAUAACGAGAAAACGAGGAAAUGUGGAUACGCUUCGGUGGGAAUGACGAAUCCUGGCUACUGUAUAAGCUUUUGGCCGAUGCUACGGCUGCUACUAUGCUGGUCUUUCCCGGCUAAUUCAGCGAUUUUGUCGCAAUUUUCGACGACAGGCCUUCCGGAGCGUGGCGCAUCUUCGACGACCUCUACACCAGAACGAAAACGUUGAAACCAUCGUUGUGCGGUGGAAAUGGAAACUGUAUCGGGUCCAUAAACUGCACAAAUUUUAUUGGCAGCUUGAGAUGCAUUUUUGCCUUUGUCAUAGUAGUACUGUAAAAUAUGUCGGAUUUUCUCUAUCUCUACUCUAGAGCAUUAUCAUUAUAAGUUAUUUGUUUUAGCUCAUUACGCAUAUUAUUCUAUCAACAUAAAACAUAAAAAUAAAUGUGAUAU